rnacentral:misc_RNA from 1 species
GAUGAAGAACGCAGCGAAAUGCGAUAAGUAGUGUGAAUUGCAGAAUUCAGUGAAUCAUCGAAUCUUUGAACGCACAUUGCGCCCCUUGGUAUUCCAUGGGGCAUGCCUGUUCGAGCGUCAUUUGUACCUUCAAGCUCUGCUUGGUGUUGGGUGAUUGUCUAUCUUUGUAGACUCGCCUUAAAGUCAUUGGCAGCCGGCAUAUUGGCCUGGAGCGCAGCACAAGUCGCGCUUCUUGUCAUGAAUGUUGGCGUCCAGUAAGUCUACAUAUUUUGCUCUUGACCUCGGAUCAGGUAGGGAUACCCGCUGAACUUAAGCAUAUCAAUAAGCGGAGGA